rnacentral:rRNA from 1 species
UACGUAGGGUGCAAGCGUUGUCCGGAAUUAUUGGGCGUAAAGAGCUCGUAGGCGGUUUGUCGCGUCUGCUGUGAAAACUCGGGGCUUAACCCCGGGCCUGCAGUGGGUACGGGCAGACUAGAGUGCAGUAGGGGCAGAGGGAAUUCCCAGUGUAGCGGUGAAAUGCGUAGAGAUUGGGAAGAACAUCCGUGGCGAAAGCGCUCUGCUGGACUGCAACUGACAUUGAGGGACGAAAGCUAGGGGAGCGAAUGGG